rnacentral:rRNA from 1 species
CAGUAGCCGCGGUAAUACGAAGGGUGCAAGCGUUAAUCGGAAUUACUGGGCGUAAAGCGUGCGUAGGCGGUGAGUUAAGUCUGCUGUGAAAUCCCCGGGCUCAACCUGGGAAUGGCAGUGGAUACUGGCUUGCUAGAGUGUGUCAGAGGAUGGUGGAAUUCCCGGUGUAGCGGUGAAAUGCGUAGAGAUCGGGAGGAACAUCAGUGGCGAAGGCGGCCAUCUGGGACAACACUGACGCUGAGGCACGAAAGCGUGGGGAGCAAACAGGAUUAGAUACCCCCGUAGUCCCUGUCUCUUAUAC